AACGAACGCUGGCGGCAUGCCUAACACAUGCAAGUCGAACGAGACCUUCGGGUCUAGUGGCGCACGGGUGCGUAACGCGUGGGAACCUGCCCUUAGGUUCGGAAUAACUCCCCGAAAGGGGUGCUAUUAACGGAUAAUGUCUUCGGACCAAAGAUUUAUCGCCUUUGGAUGGUCCCGCGUUGGAUUAGCUUGUUGUUAGGGUAAAAGCCUACCAAGGCGACGAUCCAUAGCUGGUCUGAGAGGAUGAUCAGCCACACUGGGACUGAGACACGGCCCAGACUCCUACGGGAGGCAGUAGUGGGGAAUAUUGGACAAUGGGCGAAAGCCUGAUCCAGCAAUGCCGCGUGAGUGAUGAAGGCCUUAGGGUUGUAAAGCUCUUUUACCCGGGAUGAUAAUGACAGUACCGGGAGAAUAAGCUCCGGCUAACUCCGUG
rnacentral:rRNA from 1 species